UCUGACACAGGUGCUGCAUGGCUGUCGUCAGCUCGUGUCGUGAGAUGUUGGGUUAAGUCCCGUAACGAGCGCAACCCUUGUCCUUAGUUACCAGCACGUUAUGGUGGGCACUCUAAGGAGACUGCCGGUGACAAACCGGAGGAAGGUGGGGAGUGACGUCAAGUCAUCAUGGCCCUUACGGCCUGGGCUACACACGUGCUACAAUGGUCGGUACAAAGGGUUGCCAAGCCGCGAGGUGGAGGCUAAUCCCAUAAAACCGAUCGUAGUCCGGAUCGCAGUCUGCAACUCGACUGCGUGAAGUCGGAAUCGCUAGUAAUCGUGAAUCAGCCAAGCCGCGGUGAAUACGUUCCCGGGCCUU
rnacentral:rRNA from 1 species